AGAGUUUGAUCCUGGCUCAGGAUGAACGCUAGCGGCAGGCUUAACACAUGCAAGUCGAGGGGCAGCGGGGAGGAAGCUUGCUUUCUCCGCCGGCGACCGGCGCACGGGUGAGUAACACGUAUGCAACCUGCCCCUGUCAGGGGGACAACCCGCCGAAAGGCGGGCUAAACCCGCGUACAUGCCACCGGGGCAUCCCGGAGGCAGGAAAGGCUUCGGCCGGACAGGGAUGGGCAUGCGGCGCAUUAGGCAGUAGGCGGGGUAACGGCCCACCUAACCGACGAUGCGUAGGGGUUCUGAGAGGAAGGUCCCCCACACUGGUACUGAGACACGGACCAGACUCCUACGGGAGGCAGCAGUGAGGAAUAUUGGUCAAUGGUCGGGAGACUGAACCAGCCAAGCCGCGUGAGGGAGGAAGGUACAGAGUAUCGUAAACCUCCUUUGUCAGGGAACAAAGACUGGGACGCGUCCCCGGAUGAGUGUACCUGAAGAAAAAGCAUCGGCUAACUCCGUGCCAGCAGCCGCGGUAAUACGGAGGAUGCGAGCGUUAUCCGGAUUUAUUGGGUUUAAAGGGUGCGCAGGCGGUCUGUUAAGUCAGCGGUCAAAGCCCGGGGCUCAACCCCGGCCCGCCGUUGAAACUGGCAGUCUCGAGUUGGAGAGAAGUAUGCGGAAUGCGCGGUGUAGCGGUGAAAUGCAUAGAUAUCGCGCAGAACUCCGAUUGCGAAGGCAGCAUGCCGGCUCCACACUGACGCUGAGGCACGAAAGCGUGGGUAUCGAACAGGAUUAGAUACCCUGGUAGUCCACGCAGUAAACGAUGAAUGCUGGCUGUCCGGGGGGACUGACCCCUGGGUGGCGAAGCGAAAGCGAUAAGCAUUCCACCUGGGGAGUACGCCGGCAACGGUGAAACUCAAAGGAAUUGACGGGGGCCCGCACAAGCGGAGGAACAUGUGGUUUAAUUCGAUGAUACGCGAGGAACCUUACCCGGGCUCAAACGGGGAGUGGCGCAGGCAGAGACGCCUGUUUCCCACGGGACACUCCCCGAGGUGCUGCAUGGUUGUCGUCAGCUCGUGCCGUGAGGUGUCGGCUUAAGUGCCAUAACGAGCGCAACCCCCGCGUGCAGUUGCUAACAGUCAACGCUGAGGACUCUGCACGGACUGCCGGCGCAAGCCGCGAGGAAGGCGGGGAUGACGUCAAAUCAGCACGGCCCUUACGUCCGGGGCGACACACGUGUUACAAUGGGUGGUACAGCGGGAAGCCAGGCGGCGACGCCGAGCGGAACCCGAAAUCCACUCUCAGUUCGGAUCGGAGUCUGCAACCCGACUCCGUGAAGCUGGAUUCGCUAGUAAUCGCGCAUCAGCCAUGGCGCGGUGAAUACGUUCCCGGGCCUUGUACACACCGCCCGUCAAG
rnacentral:rRNA from 1 species